CUUUUUGAUUGACCUGCGAGAGAUGUCGUGAAAGCAUCUCUGUAGCUCUUUAAAAAUCUAAUUAAAUCUUUGACUUGUGCUAACAUCUUCAAAAAAGGCGUAGCUAAGGCUACUCUUUAAUACUUCAAGAACAUAAUAUGAGGGAUAAGUGGAAGAAGAAACGUAUGCGAAGAUUGAAGCGCAAACGACGAAAGAUGAGGGCUAGAUCCAAGUAGAUGCAAGACUCUUGGAGGCUGUUGCAACCAUCCUUUUUCUGGAUGUCCAACAUCACAGUAGCAGCUGCAGCUCAUCCACAGAAUGUUGUAUGAUGAAGCAACUUGGCCUAGUAUAGCAGAACUGUAUUUCAGCUGGUGGAAAAAACCAAACAAAUCAAGUCCAUUGUUCUUCUGGCAAUGACUUGUCAGCCAUCAACAAAAUAAAUUUGUCUAUGCUUACGGAUGCAACAUCACUUCAAGUGGCUUAAGACAUCAGAGACUGUUCUGUUAUUUAGUUGUUUUGUGUUUCUUUAAAGAAUUGUCUUGUAAAAUACCACAAUGUCAACAAAAACGAGAAUUAAACUAUAGUUUAUCUCUGAAAA